UACGGGGGGAGCAAGCGUUGUUCGGAUUUACUGGGCGUAAAGGGCGCGUAGGCGGCCAGCACAAGUCAGUUGUGAAAUCUCCGAGCUUAACUCGGAAAGGUCAACUGAUACUGUGCGGCUAGAGUGCGGAAGGGGCAACUGGAAUUCUUGGUGUAGCGGUGAAAUGCGUAGAUAUCAAGAGGAACACCUGCGGCGAAGCGGGUUGCUGGGCCGACACUGACGCUGAGGCGCGAAAGCCAGGGGAGCGAACGGG
rnacentral:rRNA from 1 species